rnacentral:rRNA from 1 species
UACGGAGGGUGCAAGCGUUAAUCGGAAUUACUGGGCGUAAAGCGCACGCAGGUGGCUAAGUCAGUCGAUUGUGAAAGCCCUGGGCUUAACCUGGGAAUUGCAGUCGAUACUACUUAGCUAGAGUAUGGGAGAGGGCAGUGGAAUUCCCGGUGUAGCAGUGAAAUGCGUAGAGAUCGGGAGGAACACCAGUGGCGAAGGCGGCCUUCUGGACCAAUACUGACGCUCAUGCACGAAAGCGUGGGGAGCAAACAGG